AUCUGUGAUAAAGCACACUGAAGUUAGGUUUGGAAUGCACCCUUAUCAUGAAUGCUCUACACCUCCACCUCCAUCUCCCACAACCUAGGUAACAGCUUUGAGACUCACUAAAAGUUGAACCCCCUGAAUGAUGUAGGCUAUGGGGCCACAUAAGACUUUGUCCAUCCAGGGUUACAUUGAACGACAACUUUAAACUAAAAAACCAACAUUUUUCACACAACUCCAGGUUGUUACUACAAGUGUCAUCAAGGGAUAACUACAAGUAGAAGCACCAUUUUUGGAUGGAAAAAACCCUUCAGGAAAGUAUACGUAUCACAUGUAACAUGUAGUGUAACAAAGUAUGAACAGUAAGGUUUUUACAUACAGUAGUACAUAUUACAUACGUACAUAACUUUUUUUUACAGGAAUUUCCAACCAAGUUUGAUUAUGUACAUAUGUACAUGUUAUAAACCACUGUACGUAUGGUUACUGUAUGUAACUUACUAAACAUACAUAACAUGACUUAACUUUGAUACUUUUUUGGUACAUUCCAGAAAACCAGGACCCCCUCCAUGAUGCAGGCUAUGGGGCCACAUAAAACUUUGUCCAGGGUUACUACAUAACAUAGCACGACAACUGUAAACUAUGUACUACUGUACUAAAGAACCCCCUGAAUGAUGUAGGCUAUGGGGCCACAUAAGACUUUGUGCAUCCAGGGUUACAUAGCAGGACAACUUUAAACUAAAAAGCUACCAGACUGGGAUUUUAGUGUACUCCAGGAUCUAACAAAUACAUACGUACUACUACGAAGUGUGCAAUGCAUGUAUAUAGUGUACAGUGUUUAGUGUAUACCCUAAGGAUUAAGUGUAGUACAUUGUGCUUUUUAGUGUCA